rnacentral:rRNA from 1 species
CCCGCUGAACUUAAGCAUAUCAAUAAGCGGAGGAAAAGAAACUAACAAGGAUUCCCCUAGUAACUGCGAGUGAAGAGGGAAAAGCUCAAAUUUAAGAUCUGGCUGUUCUAGUUAGCAGUCCGAGUUGUAGUUUAGAGAAGUGCUAUCCGCGUUGGCCUGUGCAUAAGUUUCUUGGAAAAGAACAUCAUAGAGGGUGACAAUCCCGUCUUUGGCACAGAUAACCAAGGCUUUUGUGAUACGCUCUCAACGAGUCGUGUUGUUUGGGAAUGCAGCACUAAAUGGGUGGUAAAUUCCAUCUAAAGCUAAAUAUUGGCGAGAGACCGAUAGCGAACAAGUACCGUGAGGGAAAGAUGAAAAGAACUUUGAAAAGAGAGUUAAACAGUACGUGAAAUUGUUGAAAGGGAAACGCUUGAAGUCAGUCGUGUCUUUCAGGGAUCAAGUUGCCCUUUGGGUGACCGCACUUCCUGUUGGAUGGGUCAGCAUCAAUUUUGAUCAUUGGAUAAAGGCUUAGGGAAUGUGGCAUCUUCGGAUGUGUUAUAGACCUGGGUUGGAUACAAUGAUUGGGAUUGAGGAACUCAGUGCUUGCACUCAGGAUGCUGGCAUAAUGGCUUUAAUCGACCCGUCUUGAAACACGG